ACAGCUGUAUAUCUAUGUAUGUAUUUGUCAGUGUAUGUAUCUGUGUGUGUCAGUGUGUGUAUAUGUAUCUGUGUGUAUGUGUCAGUGUGUAUGAGUCAGUGUAUAUCUGUGUGUACGAGUCAGUGUGUGUGUCAGUGUGUAUCUGUGUGUGUGUAUGAGUCUGUUUGUAUCUAUGUGUGUGUGUUUCAACUUGCAUGUGUGGGGCAGUGUAUGUGCUUACAUCCCAACAAUCAAGCGCCAACUCUAAAUACAAACACUAAACACAAGUACACCUCUGCUUUCAAAUAUUAAGUAAAUACUAACAUACAACUCUCAACACUAGACACAAAAUAAAUUCAUUCAAACACAAAACAUGCUUAAAUUUGUUGCCAGUAUUUUUUUCCGAUUGCAUUAAGAAGUGUUUAUUGAGAAAAAAUGUAAUGCUCUUUAUUGACAAAUACUAUAGCCUUUACAUAUGCUGAAUUAGCCUUACAACCAGAGGGACAGGGUGACUGGGGGCUGGGGGUGGUACAUGAGGGCGACAGAAACAUUUUUUCUUCCCCGGGCAACCGUAACUCUGGUUACACCACUGGUAGACCUUGUCUAGUCUGAGGAUGGGAACUAGUUUGCUCCGAUUAAAUAGUCUACGUCCCAUCCACCUAAAGCCCCCUAGUGGACAGUCCUGCAUAGCGCUAAGAACUAGACUGCUCUCAGUGAUAGAGCUAGUUCCCAUCCAGUUAAAUCUCCUUUCUAACUAUCAGACUGAAUAAAUGCAGAGUACAACAAAUCCUUACAGUUUUAUUAUUUCAAAUGUAAUAUGGCCACUGAUCUCUGCGGCUUUGGACCCCAAUAUUACCUCUGCAACGUGUGUAACGAGUUGUAAUACGGUUCUAUACUGAUAUAAUGUUAUUGGCUAUGAUCGUGUGUAACGAGUUGUAAUACGGUUCUAUACUGAUAUAAUGUUAUUGGCUAUGAUCGUGUGUAACGAGCUGUAAUACGGUUCUAUACUGAUAUAAUGUUAUUGGCUAUGAUCGUGUGUAACGUGUUGUAAUACGGUUCUAUACUGAUAUAAUGUUAUUGGCUAUGAUCGUGUGUAACGUGUUGUAAUACGGUUCUAUACUGAUAUAAUGUUAUUGGCUAUGAUCGUGUGUAACGAGUUGUAAUACGGUUCUAUACUGAUAUGAUGUUAUUGGCUAUGAUCGUGUGUAACGAGUUGUAAUACGGUUCUAUACUGAUAUAAUGUUAUUGGCUAUGAUCGUGUGUAACCAGUUGUAAUACGGUUCUAUACUGAUAUAAUGUUAUUGGCUAUGAUCGUGUGUAACGAGUUGUAAUACGGUUCUAUACUGAUAUAAUGUUAUUGGCUAUGAUCGUGUGUAACGAG